rnacentral:rRNA from 1 species
GUGGGGAAUAUUGGACAAUGGGCGAAAGCCUGAUCCAGCCAUGCCGCGUGUGUGAAGAAGGCCUUCGGGUUGUAAAGCACUUUAAGCGAGGAGGAAGGUUCGUCACCUAAUACGUGACGGAAUUGACGUUACUCGCAGAAUAAGCACCGGCUAACUCUGUGCCAGCAGCCGCGGUAAUACAGAGGGUGAAAGCGUUAAUCGGAAUUACUGGGCGUAAAGCGCGCGUAGGCGGUUGUGUAAGUUGGAUGUGAAAUCCCCGGGCUUAACCUGGGCACUGCAUUCAAAACUGCACGGCUAGAGUAUUGGAGAGGAAGGUAGAAUUCCAGGUGUAGCGGUGAAAUGCGUAGAGAUCUGGAGGAAUACCGAUGGCGAAGGCAGCCUUCUGGCCAAAUACUGACGCUGAGGUGCGAAAGCAUGGGGAGCAAACAGGAUUAGAAACCCGAGUAGUCC